AUUCUAUCGCCCUGUGUGACGGCCGCGUGAAAGAAAAUUUUCUGCAUUCGCCAUUAAGAUCGUUGAAAACCGAACUUUGUACAACUUUGAACAUAUUCCUUGGCCGGGUUUUUUUGUUGUUGGAUUUGAACUGCUGUGCUGGAUCCUGGAUUCGUCCGCCCUGCUUGCCUUCCCUGGAGAGCUACAGCGGCGCGCGGACUGGCGAGCCACCCAUGUGAUCGACCUGAAAUCUUAAAGAGAAGGAAAGAGUUCAGUUGUGCUUUCUAAGAUGGUGGUAGGACAAGAGUUUGAAUUCUACAAACUGGAACUCAGCAACAAGUGGUCCAACAACCACACGGACUAAACUGAUUUGCACAGAUAGUGUUUAAGAAAAGUGUUUUGGUGUUAUAGUGUGAUAAGUUUCCUUUGCAUAGGUACUUUCAGUAGCACUACAUAAGGGUCUUGCUUUCAAAAUAAAAGUCCUAAAAUCUAAUUAGUGACAAAUCAUACUAGAACCAAAUAACUAAUAAUAGGGAUUAACUGAAACACAUCAAAGAAAUACUAAAAGUAUGGUUAAGGUAUAAAGAUAGGAAAAAUAGUCAAAUUAGUGGAACCAGAGAAAAUAUAAAUACAGACACAAAGUAAAAGGGCUUGGGACCAACUUGUAUU